GCCCUGAGUGUAGCUAAGUCAGUAGAGCAGGAGACUCUUGAUCUCAGGGUUGUGGGUUCGAACCCCAUGUGGGGCA